CAUUGCUCUCCACUUGUGGUUAAAUGGCACUGGUUGUUUUGGGGGCGACUUUUAGCGUUUUCCGCCAGGUUGACAGUGAGCUAUGAACUUAAAGCUAAUGUCGAUGUUUUUAAUAGGGACCCGUUGGGCCAAAACACGACUGUGUUUCGUGCGCCUAAAAGCUAUAACUUAAAAUGUAACACACUGAGUCAGUACUUUUUAAUUAAUGGAAAAGGGGGGGGGGGAUUGUCCCUUCCCGUUCACGGCCUCCCUGAGAUUCACGCCCAUGUUCCCAACGUCUUCAAUGACUAAAACGAAAUAAUGAAUACAAAUAUUUAUUGAGUUAGUGGUUAAGUACUACUCAUAAAAAUUGGGAAGCAUUCAUUUUCACAUGGCACCCUAAUUACUAAAUUUAUUUCAUAUUACCUCAUUGACUGCUGGUACGAAAACCUGCAGCCUUUUUUAUAAUAUUUUAAGAUCAUGCUCUGUUAUUGGAGCCAAGCUCUACCUGUGAUAUUUUGAAAUAGUUAUGUCAAUAACAAAACUAGUUCCCAGGGAUUUUCCCAUCGGAUGAGAGGUUAGAAAUUUGUAUGCUAUAAAUGAGAUGAAUUAAGCAUAUUUUUCAAAAAAAUUUCUAUCACUGUGUAGGAUUUUUUUCUAUAGUUAGUUUAUUGAUAGCCAUUCUAUUGCCACAAUUGCAUCCCUGCAUCGUAGUUUCUAUUGCUUAGGUAACUUGGAAAUGAAAUGUAAACAAGUGAACAAGCCGUUGUUAACAUCAGCUAUUUGCCUUACAGAUGCAAGAGAAAGUCGUGGACCAGUAGCAAACAUGCAAAGGAUAUAAAAACAAAAAAUCCUUUUACCAACCGUCUUUACUUCAUUCAGCUGAAGUUCUUCACCCUAACAUGUUCUCUGCCUCUGUCUUCACUUGACGAACCAUACCCAAUUGGCCUCACAUUUCAUGAGCAUACUUAAAAAUAAUGAAUGUUUAAUCGUGCUGACUGAGAGGGCACGCCAUUAUAAAACAGAAUAUACAAACUACCUUUCAUUCCAGGUGCAGUUCUUGGAGGCUGGAAUUCAAGGACUGAGAUAAUAACAGUAUAGCAGACGACAAUUUAGAAUCCACGUGCCGGGACCAUGAUCCCAGAAACGUUGUUUUAUACUAUCGCAUGUGUGAUCAAGUGCUAUACGUUAUCUGUUUUCCAGGAAGCCCAAACGUUACCAAAGAUUCAUCUGUUUGGAGGUUCAAUGUUGGUACGCCUUGGUAGGUAUAUUGCAUCCUGCCAAGGUUAUGCCGUCAAGAAGGAAAAAAACCGAAAUGGAAAGGAAGUUUUCGGUUACUGCACGCGAGGUGCAACCAUUAAGCAGGCAUUACGAAGACUUCAAAAAAAUGUAUCUAUGUUUAGAGCAGUGUCUGUCCUGCUUAUGUUAGGUACCAAUGAUGUUUUGAAGGGUACGAGACUGCAAUACAUGAUGAGGGAUGUCAAUAUGUUACUGCUGGAAUUGAGGAGGAGGAAAUGUAUUGUUAAAAUCAUUUUGUUACCUCCUAUACCACGCCUGCAGCCAGGAAGUAAUGAAGAGCACAUAAGAAAAUUGUACAACAAUUUUCUGUGCUACAGAGCAGGUGCCCUUGGAAUGCAAGUAAUCAAUUCGGAAAACAUUUUUACUUGGAGGAAUGGAGAUGUCAAAGCUCACUUGUAUGAGAAGUACAUGGGAACAAGGCGAGAUGGUAUCCAUUGGAAUCGAGAAGGCAUGGCCGCCAUUCUGGAAGUUUUGAACUCCAAAUAAAUUUGUAAACAAAUAUGAAUUUGAUUUUUAUACUUCCUACAUACAACUCCCGUUUUAAAUUAUUUUUAUUUCUUCAUUUAGUAGACGUUAGAUUUUUGGAGGUGUUCCAGACAAGUUUAUUGUUCGGAAACCUUUUUCCACUGAUCAAUUGCUCUCAUAGUUUUAUUAUAAACUUAGGGUGUUUUUUUUUCAAUUGAAAAUAGGUCAAAGUUAACCUACACACAAUUGUUCAACAGUACCUACGUAAUGGACCUUUAUUUCUCCCAUGUAAUACUAUUUUUUUGAUACUUGACCAGUCUAAGUAAAUUUGAAAACCAACAGUGUUUAUUUAUACUUCUUUCAUUACUGUCAUUAAUGAUAUGUCUCUCGUACGCAGAGUUGUUGAUUUCCUUUUCUUGUCAUUAUUUUUAUUGGAAUAAAUUUUCUGUCAAAUUAUUA